UCGAGCAAGGGGACAGGGGGGUGGUGAAUAGGUGGGUGGGAAGGGUUGUCGGGAAUCAUGGGGCGGAGAGCGCGGGUAGGGGGCCCGGUAAGUCCGCUGUGAAAGGCUGGGGCUGAGCCCUGGGAUGGCGGGGGAUACUGUCGGGCUUGAGUACGGAAGAGGCGAGUGGAAUUCCUGGUGUAGCGGUGAAAUGCGCAGAUAUCAGGAGGAACACCGAUUGCGAAGGCAGCUCGCUGGGACGUUACUGACGCUGAGACGCGAAAGCGUGGGGAGCAAACAGGAUUAGAUACCCCGGUAGUC
rnacentral:rRNA from 1 species